UGGCAAUCUUUCUCCUGGCAGCCCAGUUCAAAUUGAUCCCAGCUUUCUUCUGGUGGUGCAGAACGUCUUCUAGGCUUCCAUACUUCAUAUACUCGUACACCAAUAGCCGCUCUUCUCCAACCUUGCAGUAUCCGAGAAGGGGAACAAGGUUCCUGUGCUUGAUUUUCCCAAUGGUUUCCAUUUCUGCAGUGAAUUCCCUA
rnacentral:misc_RNA from 1 species